AGCAGGUUCACUUCAAUGUGCAGCUCUCAGAAACAAACAGAUGUUCAGAUGCUCAGCCAGGGAUUCCUGGGCUGAUAGGUCAUUCAUCCAAUAAAGAAAAUGGUGAAAAUUUGGGAUUGGAAACAAAAUAUUUAAAGAAAAGGGAAGAUAGCAUACCUUUAAGAGGACUCAAUCAAAACACAGCUCAAAACACAGGAUAUAUGAAGUCCUCUGCACCAAAAAAAGUGCAGGUUCCAUGUAAGCCUGCAGCACCUUCUAAAACUUCCGCCUACUUUCCUGGAUAGCAUAUUGUAAUUAAAGGUUUACAACAAUUUUGAUCACCAUUAUCAGUUACAUGCAUUUGUUUCCCUUUUGAAGUACCAACUUUACAUUUUUACAAAAUAGAUUUCUGGGUACUAAAGUUAACUAGUUCUAGGACAUUUAAAUUUAUGUUUUUCUACAAAAUGAAAUGGAUAUUUGUUUAUUCAAUGGAUAGAUGUCUAGAUUCUAUUUGGUUGUUCUCUAAUAGUUCAUUUGCAUUUUUGCAAUAUACGAGGUAUUUGCUUUCAGUUUUAGGUAUCAAAGAUGCACUACCUGAUAAGAAUAACUUAUUGUUGUUUCUAUGACAGAAAUUUAUGGAAUGUGGGGCUCAAAAGUGAAAUUGUGGAAGGCUUAAGGAGGAAUUUACCUGACACAAAUAGAAUUGCCUGCAGAAUUUUGGAGCUUAAUUCUUCAGUGUCUAUGAUGCAGGGUGUUCUAAAUUCAAUGCAAUGCAAAUAGAUCUGCCUUAUUGUUCUACCUAUAUAAUACUGCAAUCUCAGGGAGGGUUAUGGCAGAUGGGAUAAGGUAUGAGACUCCUGGAUCUCUUAUGUAUGUCAGCCUGAAUAAGCAUAAACUUUCAUACUACCUUUCAUUUAGCAGUUUUUGAUUACUAUAUCGAAAAUGUACAGAUUUUUUUAAAAAUUGUGUCUAAGUAGAAUUUUUUCCCAUUCUUUAUAGAUUUAAAGAUUAUGUAAUGAUGUUUCUACAUGGCCAAACUACAUAUUUCCAGCUUGAAUAACCAACUCUGCUGUUCAACCAUUGGGGUAUCUUGGCCAUAAAUAAAAAAAUAUGACAAUGUCUGAAGUAAUGAAACAAUUUUUAAACACAAUAUUUUCUGGUUUCUAACCAUGGUAGAAAAACGUAUAAACUGGCUCAGUGCUGUUCUUUUUAUUACUUUUGGAACGCAUUUGAGUCCAGUAUGCAAAUUGAUUUUAGUAAUUUUAAUGGAACAACCGGUAUUAAUAACAUGAUUUAGGGAUGCAGUAUUAGUGCCCACAAAUCUAUAAUAAACAUUUAUUUUUGAAUUUACCGGAUUUUAGAAUUCCUGUGCUGUUAGUUAACAAUAUUGGCACAUUUUGUCCAGGGUUUAGAAAACAAUACUUUAAAACCAUUGCUGAAUGUUGGUAUAUUUUUGGUAA